rnacentral:rRNA from 1 species
AUGGGAGCGCUUUCGCGAGCUAUGCCCCCUUCGCUUCGGGCCGCCGAUACGGGGGAGCCGGCUGGCGGAACUCGGCCGCCUCCCCUUCACCUCCAUGGUGCAGGACUUCGCCGACCAUUUCCAGGAUCUGGCGUGCCACACGCCGGGCGUGACGGCUCAGCAGCGCGCCGAGCUCUUCGUCGGCGGUCUGCCGGAUCACAUCCGCGUGGACAUGGAGCUUCGGGGACCCCAGGACCUCCAGACGGCCAUGUACUACGCCCGCGCCUUCGAGCGUCGCGCGCAGGCCUUGCAGCAGGCGGCACCGACCCGGGGUGGCCGACAGCCCGCCAGGCCACCCCCGACACCACCUGUCCCGGGCCCGCCGCCCCCGACACCACCUGUCCCGGGGCGGCUGCUCCAGCGACUAUCACUCCGGCCACGACGCGGCCCUUCCGCCGGCUCACUCCGACCGAGCAGCUCGAGCGACGUCGCCAGGGGCUUUGCUAUAACUGCGAUGAGCCCUACGUGCCGGGCAACGUCUGCCCGCGCAUCUUCUACUUGGAGGCGGCCGACUACGUCGAGAACACACCCGCCGACGCGCUCGGCGAGUUGCCGCCACCAGCUACUGCGGAGGCCGCCCCCGCGCCCGCUCCGGCGACGGCGCUCGUGUUCUCGCUCCAUGCGCUUGCCGACAUCCGCGACGAGCGGACUAUGCUCUUGCCGGUGAUGAUUCACGGCGAGCGCCUGGUGGCCCUCCUGGAUACAGGCUCCACGCAUAACUUCCUGCCCGAGGCUACCAUGCGGCACUUAGCGCUCGGGCGGGGAGCAACUUCGGGUCAUGGUGGCUAA